CGGAUCUACACGAUUCAGGUGGAUGACAUGUUCCCAUUCAAAAUGGAGAUUUCCCCCGAAAAGCGACUAGUUUGCAGGUGUGCUGCAGAUUUAACACU